GAUCCUGGCGUUAACAUUGGCGCUGGAAGGAGGGCUGUGUUCUAGUGUUCUUGAAGUUUUCAAUCACAAAUUGUAGCUGCUAUAUGUCGGAAUCCAUGGUGAAGAAGAGUAGAACAGUUACCUCUAAAGGAUACCUGAUGGCUAUGACUUCGUCUACACAAUGAGUAUCUGUCAAGGAUUGAUUGGGUCCUUCAAAGAAUG
rnacentral:lncRNA from 1 species